rnacentral:rRNA from 1 species
AAUCAACGCUGGCGGCGUGCCUCAGACAUGCAAGUCGAACGAUUAAAGCUCUCUUCGGAGAGUGUAUAGAGUGGCGCACGGGUGAGUAACACGUAAGUAAUCUACCCUCGAGUGGGGAAUAACAACCGGAAACGGUUGCUAAUAUCGCAUAAUGCAGCGGCACCGCAAGGUGACAGUUGUUAAAGAUUUAUCGCUUGAGGAGGAGCUUGCGGCAGAUUAGCUAGUUGGUAGGGUAACGGCUUACCAAGGCUACGAUCUGUAACCGGUCUAAGAGGACGGUCGGUCACACUGACACUGAAUAACGGGUCAGACUCCUACGGGAGGCAGCAGUCGGGAAUUUUGGGCAAUGGGCGAAAGCCUGACCCAGCAACGCCGCGUGAAGGAUGAAGUAUUUCGGUAUGUAAACUUCGAAAGAAUAGGAAGAAUUAAUGACGGUACUAUUUAUAAGGUCCGGCUAACUACGUG